AAUAAAUGCACAAACAUACCUGCAUGCUGAGUUACUAACAGUGUGCAAAGAGGAUUGCAUUUCUCAAAUGUGCAACAUGGCAUGUAUUGUCA